AGUACUUGGUGUAUGAGGACUGCCUCCUGCAGCUUUUUAAAAUCUGCCCCACCUGCUCCAGACUCUGUGAAGCUGACACGUUUGUUAAAGGAACAUUCCUCUCUGUAACCCAGAAGUGCCUCUACACGAGUGUCUCUUCCUCAAGACUCCACAGCCCUGAUAACACCUGCUGAGAGUGAGAGGAGGGGAGAGGACACCAACUAGAGAACCCAGAACUAUGAGGAUGGGAGGAAGCCAAGGUACUCCUGGUGGAUACGGACAACAACGCAGGAAGGUAUCACUACCCGGUUGUACUUUCCCAGGUAUCCCCAGCACCAGGAAAUGAAGGAUGCCAGCACAUCAUGAUCCCUAGAAGAUGAAAGAUGGAUCAACCUGCAGCAUGCCCGAAAUCUAUUUGGCUGUAUGGACUGGCCAUCUGUUUUUUUUCUUUGUUUGCUUU